rnacentral:rRNA from 1 species
ACCUCUGCAAUAGGCGAAAGCUUGACAGGGUUACUCUGAGUGAUGCCCGCUAAGGGCAUCUUUUGGCACCUCUAAAAAUGGUGCAGAAUAAGGGGUGGGCAAGUCUGGUGUCAGCCGCCGCGGUAAUACCAGCACCCCGAGUGGUCGGGACGAUUAUUGGGCCUAAAGCAUCCGUAGCUUGUUCUGCAAGUCCUCCGUUAAAUCCACCUGCUCAACAGAUGGGCUGCGGGGGAUACUACAGGGCUAGGAGGCGGGAGAGGCAAACGGUACUCAGUGGGUAGGGGUAAAAUCCUCUGAUCCACUGAAGACCACCAGUGGCGAAGGCGGUUUGCCAGAACGCGCUCGACGGUGAGGGAUGAAAGCUGGGGGAGCAAACCGGAUUAGAUACCCGGGUAGUCCCAGCUGUAAACGAUGCAGACUCGGUGAUGGGUUGGCUUUGAGCCAACCCAGUGCCGCAGGGAAGCCGUUAAGUCUGCCGCCUGGGGAGUACGGUCGCAAGACUGAAACUUAA